rnacentral:rRNA from 1 species
AACGCGAAGAACCUUACCAGCUUUUGACAUGUCCUGUAUGGGCUUCAGAGAUGAGGCUCUUCAUUUAGUUGGCAGGAACACAGGUGCUGCAUGGCUGUCGUCAGCUCGUGUCGUGAGAUGUUGGGUUAAGUCCCGCAACGAGCGCAACCCUCGCCCUUAGUUGCCAUCAUUAGGUUGGGCACUCUAGGGGGACUGCCGGUGAUAAGCCGCGAGGAAGGUGGGGAUGACGUCAAGUCCUCAUGGCCCUUACAGGCUGGGCUACACACGUGCUACAAUGGCGGUGACAAAGGGAUGCGAUGGCGCGAGCCCGAGCAAAUCUCGAAAAGCCGUCUCAGUUCGGAUUGCACUCUGCAACUCGAGUGCAUGAAGGUGGAAUCGCUAGUAAUCGUAGAUCAGAACGCUACGGUGAAUACGUUCCCGGGCCUUGUACACACCGUACGUC